GCAAGUCGAACGAACCCUUCGGGGUGAGUGGCGCACGGGUGCGUAACGCGUGGGAACCUGCCUUUAGGUUCGGAAUAACAGUUAGAAAUGACUGCUAAUACCGAAUAAUGUCUUCGGACCAAAGAUUUAUCGCCUUUAGAUGGGCCCGCGUUAGAUUAGAUAGUUGGUGGGGUAAUGGCCUACCAAGACCACGAUCUAUAGCUGGUUUGAGAGGAUGAUC
rnacentral:rRNA from 1 species